CAGGGUUCAGUAAUUGCACAUAAAGAAUUUUAAUGAUGUGAAAGGGCAUUACGAUUUGCUGUUCGGCAAUCGUACAGAGGAAGAGAAACUUUCGAAAGAAUUUCAGACUUUCUGGUGCAACUCCCAUCCACGUUUUUCGUCGGCCACAGGGCCCCACAGCUCCUCCGAAAGAAAGCGUCCUAAUCCCGGGCGUGCGUCUUUUCUUCCCUAAUGAAUGGAGCACAGAAGGGCCACGCGUGCGAGGCUCUGUGGCGCAAUGGAUAGCGCAUUGGACUUCUAGACAGCUGGAGGCAUUCAAAGGUUGUGGGUUCGAGUCCCACCAGAGUCGCUUUUCUUUCGUUAUAGGACAGUGGGGGGAGAAUGGAAAAUUGAAGAGGCAGAUCAAACAAACAAACAAAAAAGCCUUACCUUUUAAAAUUUCCAGUCUGACACGCCUAUCUUGAAAAGGAAGGAAACUAAUUGCAGUUCCUUGUUAUGUCUUGUCGCCUGAUGGUUUCAGGAAUCCGGCUCCUCCACCCUUUUGAGUCACUUUCACGUGGCUCCAGUUUCUGGUGGUGUGAUGAAGAAAUUAGAGAUGAUAAAAGUACCAACAACUCUUCUCCAAAACAAUGAGACAUGGAGGGACCCUCACUGAGGAGAAAGUUGUGUCUGUGAACGCCAAGGAGAGCUACAACGGGCGUGAGGCUCCCUUUCAAGGGAUCUUACCCGAUGCCUUAAGGAAGGAGGACAUGGCAAAGAAGUCACGAAGGAACAUACGAAGGAACAGGACGCAUUACAGGAUUGACUAAUUAGGGACGGCCGGGACACAGCUGCCAAGGUAACAGGGCUCCCUAAAAAGGUCAAAUCCAGCCUGCAGCUUGCCCGAUCAAAAUCUUUCAAUGGAAGCUUCAGGAAAAUGGUCAGACGCCCCCGCGAAGUAAACGACGUCACUUCCCAUUUGCCAUUCCCUCCGCUCGGCGUUCUCUGUCCGAGUGUUCGGGGCCAUCCGAAGCUCAGUUCAGGCGCCGCCACUCCGGGAAACUGUGCUGGCUGACUUCGGGCGCCCGCCGAGUCCUCCUCCCGGGUGCGCAAAAGCGCUGGCCCCACCUCGCAGCGCCCGCCUGGGGGCUUCUGUGUUGCGCGACUCCCGGCCCCAGCGAGGGCCGGGACGACGGCUGCAGCCCCCCCGGGCGCGCCGCGUUCCUGAGGCGCGGUUCGCGCUCAAACAUGUCUGCGGCACCGAUCACCGCGACCCGCCCGCAGGACGCCCCGGGCUUCCUCGGAGACCAGGACUGGGAUUAGAAAUCCCGCCGCUCGCUUCCCCAGAGGCCCGCCCGGGGAGCUCUAGAUCUGGGCAAUUCUUCGCGGGAAGUUCCCUUCAGGGCGCCGGGCAGGUCAGGCAGGCGGUUAUUUUUCGUCUCAGUUCCGAAGGUUCGCCUCUCAGGGAAUCAGCAAGAAGACUCGCGACUUUAAAGCCCAGGGGGAAGAAUGCGGCCACGUGGCCUAUUUUACUGCCGAUAGGCAAGGGGAAGGGCUGUUGUUCAGAGCCCGGAUAGCUCAGUCGGUAGAGCAUCAGACUUUUAAUCUGAGGGUCCAGGGUUCAAGUCCCUGUUCGGGCGGAGGUCGUUUUAAAUUCCAAAACAAAUUGAGGUAUACUGUGUGUCCCGGCCAAGGCUGAGCAAGUGGGAGCUCCUGCAUAAACCUCUGCUAGGGUUCCAUCCUUAGGAGAGUUAGAUAACCCAAAAGUAGGGAAAACAAGACUCUCUAGUGAUUUGGGUCCGAAAAAUGAAUGAUGAGGAAAGUGCUGAGUAACUUUCUCUUCCAACCGGAGGCCUUAGUCUUCCAACCUUUGUUGCUUUGUGUUCCGAUAUUUUCCCCUUGAAACUAGCUUGCAUUACUUUUAUAGUCAAAACAUCAGUAAGCACAUAACUGAGAAAACUACACACCUGUCCUCAAGAGUCAUAAUAGUUAUAUUCUUGGCAGAAACUGUGCA